ensembl:lncRNA
GGGGUUCACAGCAUCAAACAUUUGGAAGAUAUCCAGGAGUUUUAUUGGAGACAAGUAAACAAGAUAUUCAUGAGCAGAACUGAAUAUUAGAGAUAACGGGGCCAACCAGUUUGUGCAGCGCUGAGCGAUCUCAUGAAAAUACAUGGACCCCACAGGUGCAAAAUACAUUCUGGUGUGAGAAACUGAUGUGGUUUAUUGCUUUUUAAGUGAAAGCAUGAAAAAUAAGCACUGUAAUUAUGUAGUUUACAUUGACAUUGACGCUAUUAUUAAGGAAGUCAUGCUAAAAUUUAGACAAAAAGAGCAUCAAAGACUGAAAGUGUAUUUUUAUCACUCACUGAAUACAAAGUGUGAGGAAUUUCUGAGCAAAUCAGCUGUUUGAAAGUUUUAGCAGGUCUGAUAAUAGCUGAUCCCAGCUAUGUACAGAGCCAUGAAUAUAUUACUGUUGCGGUUAUUAGUCUACUUAUUUGCUAUUUUUAUGGAAACUUGUUUCUGCCACUUAUAAAAUAAGUAAAUAAAAAGAUAAAUGCACCUUUAUCUCAUAAUUAUGUCAUUUUUUUUUUUUUUUUUGUAGUGUGAAUUAGUAUUUAGGUUCAGAGCGCACCUUUUCUUUACAAAUGCUAGUUCUCAUGACGUCACGCAAAGGCGCGUGCCUGGUAAAUUAAUCUUUUCAUCCGUCGUAAUAAUUUGUAAAAUUAAACAUAAUAUUUUAACAUUAAAAGAGUAUUAUACAUAUCCAGUUGAUGUUAAGGUCUGUAUGGUAAUUAAUAUGUUUUACAUUUUAUUAGCUUUCUAACUUACACUGCAUGUUAAUAUCCAUUUGUGCACCCGCUGGUUCGCCGUUGCUGGUUUGUGCAUUCGUGUUUGUUGAGCGCGUGUGUGAAAAACCUAACAAUUAACGAGCUGAUUAAAAAUCUCAUACUCGUAUUAAAUAAGCCAAACCCUGGUGCUUAGAGCGAACUUUUGUUUUAUGAUGAUAUGAUGCGGGAGAGAUCUUCAGUUACCAGCUUUCCUGACUGUUGUUAUACGAUCAAGAAUCUUGAAGACGCGGAAAACACUUGUUUUGUCUCCACUCUUAAGGGACAGUGGACCUGCUUCGGGCCAAGUUGGCUGCCAGCCGUCCCAUCACAGCGGAAGCACAGAACCUGGAGGAGGAGACAGGAAACGUGGCCCAGACGCUGAUAAUCGGAGACGCAGCUGUCUCUCUUCAGCUGGAAUUACUUUGGCUUGAAAAGGAACUCAAGGACGUAUAGGGGUGAGAGAUUAAAUGUGCAUUUAUUUGCAUUUGACAGGUGACUGACGAGUGAAAAAGACCGAAUGACCUGAAACUACCUUUGAACAUUUGUAAUAUUUUACUAUUUAAAGCAAUAAAAGGCAGUAUAAAAAGUAUCA